GACGAACGCUGGCGGCGUGCUUAACACAUGCAAAUCGAACGGAAAGGCCCUGCUUUUGUGGGGUGCUCGAGUGGCGAACGGGUGAGUAACACGUGAGUAACCUGCCCUUGACUUUGGGAUAACUUCAGGAAACUGGGGCUAAUACCGGAUAGUAGCUCCUGCUGCAUGGUGGGGGUUGGAAAGUUUCGGCGGUUGGGGAUGGACUCGCGGCUUAUCAGCUUGUUGGUGGGGUAGUGGCUUACCAAGGCUUUGACGGGUAGCCGGCCUGAGAGGGUGACCGGCCACAUUGGGACUGAGAUACGGGCCAGACUCCUACGGGAGGCAGCAGUGGGGACUAUUGCACGAUGGGCGGAAGCCUGAUGCAGCAACGCCGCGUGCGGGAUGACGGCCUUCGGGUUGUAAACCGCUUUCGCCUGUGACGAAGCGUGAGUGACGGUAAUGGGUAAAGAAGCACCGGCUAACUACGUG
rnacentral:rRNA from 1 species